rnacentral:lncRNA from 1 species
GAGAAAGAGAUUCUAGCUGAAGUGUGAGUCUAAAUUAGUUUGUUCAGAAUUGAUCAUUGAUUAUUAAAGACUCCUAUUUGAUUUCAAUAAAUUAGUUUUGGUUAUGGAAGACGCUUCUCACAACCAAAUUCCUCCUUAGUUCUAGUUUAAUUAGUAAACGUUCGCUAAUCAAACACUAAUCAACAAGUUGCCAAGAAACGUCCUUGGGGCAUUGUAGCAUCGAACA